rnacentral:rRNA from 1 species
GAGAAGUGGAGACUUUGUCAAAGCGACGAGAUUGAGCCCACGCUGGCGAGAAAAGCCUCGCUGCUAGUUACCAUCGCGCCCGUACCGCAAACCGACACUGGUAGGUGGUGGUGAGAACCACAAGGCGAACGGGAGAACCCUCCUUAAGGAAUUCGGCAAAUUAGAUCCGUAACUUCGGGAGAAGGAUCGCCCCUGGAGGUGUACCGGUAUACCCGGGAAGCUGACGGGGGCCGCAGUGAGCAGGCCCAGGCGACUGUUUAUCAAAAUCACAGGUCUCUGCAAAAGCGAAAGCUGACGUAUAGGGGCUGACGCCUGCCCAGUGCCGGAAGGUUAAGGGGAGAGACUUCACGGCUUGAACCGAAGCCCCGGUGAACGGCGGCCGUAACUAUAACGGUCCUAAGGUAGCGAAAUUCCUUGUACGGUAGUUCCGACCGCACG